rnacentral:lncRNA from 1 species
AAGCAUCAACGUACGAUGGCGUCAAACCAAUACAAAUCCAAACAAUAAUAUUAAUUAGCAGCAAACAGAACCAUCAUAUUCAUAUUGAGAGAGACAUGCAAUGAGUAAUAAUAUUAGGUUCGUUGGUUUCUGGCAUAGGCUUCUUUCGCCGGAAAGGGUUGUUAACGGAGAAGAGACUUGAAAAGCCAGAACUUUCGCCGGCCUCAGCCACCUCACCGGAGAAGAGAGUGGUGAAGAUCCCUGAUUGGGUCUGAAGUUCUUCAGCCUUUGCCUUCUUUGUUGUCUUCUUCCCCAUCCUCGUUCGAUUUCAAAGCGAAAGAGGAAGAGAGAGAUCGAUCAAAUCGAAAGAGGAAAAGAGAGAGCAAAGAACCCAUCUGAUCAAAUCUUUGACAAGUGAAAGUGAUAAUAGAAAC